UUGGGGACCAGGCAUAACUUAACGGCUGUGUUCUAGUCACUGUUCUAUGGAGACACCAUGACCACGGCAACUCUUAUAAAAGAAAGCAUUUGACUGGGGACUUGCUUACAGUUUUAGAGGCUUAGUCCCUUAUCAUGGUGGGGAACAUGGUGGCAUGUAUGAUACUGGAGCAGUAGCUGAGAGCUCAGGUGACUUUAGCUUGUGUGGGGCUGACAUCAAACUACCCCACAUGUGAUAUAUCCCUGACCUGUUUUUUUUUUUUUUUAAGUUAUUGUAUUAACUUGAGGGAACAAUCUUGGAUAUUGGCUAAGACGUGACAUAUUGAGCAUAAAAAGAAAAAAAGUAAUGUAUAAUGUUAUUUAUUUUAUUAUGGCAGUUAUUCCGAAUGAAAAUCAGUAUUUAAUGCAAUUUCCACUUCUUUCGAGGUUUUUAUGUAAAUACUUCAUUACUUAAAAUGUUGGUGAUGGGCAUUGAUUUCUCAUGCACAAAUAUGUACAACAAAGUAGAUGCUAAAUUAUCAAACACAUAAAUGCCCUUGUUGUGUCUCUGAAUGUAUAAUGAGCAACUGCAAUGAACACUUGAAUCCUAUCUCUAUCAUAAAGAUGACAAGAGAAAAAUUCAGUAGGAAUAAUAUUGUAUAUUGCUUAUUCUUAAUCCCACUAACAGACUUUAUGUUCCACAGUCUCCUCACAUGCAGUGUUCCGUGCACAGAAAUCUUAUGUUUGUUCCGAGAAAAGUAUGCUGAGGGACUUCCAAGCCAAACUCUGGAAUCUGGGUUUCCACUCUUUGCUGGCUAAAACUGUUGUGCCCGAGUCACAAGGAUCCCAAAGAGACCUGGGAGACAGACCACCAAUGCAAAUGCACAAGGUUGAUUAAAUUGUCUAUCCUACCAUGGGAGAGAUCCUGUCUAGCAAGCUGAUGCAGCAGCCUCCAAGGAGGCCCUGUCUACUGCUAGGUUUUAAAGUUACAGGAUUACAUCAGUAGUUGCCUGUGGAUCAAAGUUGUAAAAUUCUCAGGUCAUUCUCCAGCACCAUAUCUGCCUGCAUGCCACCAUGUCCCACCAUGAUGAUAAUGGACUGAAUCUCUAAACUGCAGCAGAACUUGGCAGCUUUGGCCAUGGGGUUCUGGAGUUAAGGAUAGAAGAAAGGGGCUGUGUAAUUUGCUUCCAAGAUUGAGGAAAGCCAUGGAGGCCAGGCAUCUGUCAAUGGAGGCCUAGAAAGGCUAUUUCGUGAAGCUGUGGAGUUGAAUCCUGUAUUGCCUUGAAGACCCAAGAUGCUGGGGAUGCCAGAGCUGUCAGAUACCUGCCAAGGACAGCUGCUAACAGGGAGUGGAGUCAGCCCAAGAGAAAGAAGUGUAUUGUGCUCAACAAAGCUGAAAAGAGUUGGAGAUCUGAAGAAUGCUUUGACAUCAGACAUGGAGAUAAAGAGUUUGGAGUUAGCCCAGCUGGUUUUCUUUCUUGCUUUGGUCCAGUAUUUCCUCACUAUGUUCCCUUCCUACAUUUUGGAACAGUACUGUAUAUCCUGUGCCAUUAUACAUUGGACAUAUAAUGUGAUCUGUUUUUUGAUUUAUAUUUUAUAGGGGACUAUAGACAAGUGACUUCAUAAAUCUCAGAAGAGACUUUGACCUUUGGACUUUUGAACAUUGUUGAGAUUGUGACAGACUAUGGGGACCUUUGAGAUUGGACUAAGUGCAUUUUGCAUUAUGAUAUUGUUAUAAGCUUGUGGGGCCAGGUAGUGGAAUGUGGUGGUUUGAAUGUUUACUGACUUCUAUUUAUAUGUUUCUCUGAACUCAAACAACCUUUGGUGGACCAUUCCUUUCUUUGUUACAUUUGUGUAGAAAAGUACACUGAAACUGAAGUAAGAUUGUCUGCAGCAUUAGACUGUAGUCCUCCCUGUUCUUUCAGAUCCCAGAUCCAGCAGACCAGAUCUGCUCAGAUCGACGGAAAAGCUGACAACUCAGGAUGCCAAAUGCUUUCUAAUGAAUACAGACCUGCUCCAUGACUUCUGCCCAGGUCUAUGUCCUCAGUGGACAGGAUCAGCUAGACUGCCAAGGUCCCAAUCAUUUCAAGACUAAGAAAUUAACAAAACCCAGGCAGAGCUGUGGCAGGCACCACAAGCCUGCUUUUGCCAAAAGCACUAUCUCUUCCUACAGAUGACCUACUGUAGGGGAAGCUGUAGCCACUAUAGGUCCGAGAAGAGAUCUGGAACUAGGGAUAUCUCCAGAGACCUACAUGGAUGACACAAUCUGACAAUCCAAGAAAUGGUGGAUAGGAUAACCUAAAAGCCCUUCCCCUAAAAUGAGAUUGAUGACUUCUCUUUAUGCCAUCCUAGAGGCCUCAUCCAGUUGCUGAUGGAAGCAGGACAGACAUCCACAGAUAUUCACUGAGCUGAAAUCGGGAAUUUAGUUGAAGAGAAGGGAGAAUGAAGAUUGAAGGGGUCUGUACCAGGUUGGAGAAAACCACAGAAACAGUUGGCCUGAACAAGUGAGAGCACAUCAACCCCAGAUGCUGUCUGGGAGGCCACUGCAGGGGUGAGGGGAGGGAGAGGGAGAAGGGACUUUCAUUUGAAACAAUCUUGUUGGCUAACUUGAACUAAUAAAAAUUUAAAAAUAAAUAAAGGAACUUCUGGAGGCAUCACCA
ensembl:lncRNA